rnacentral:lncRNA from 1 species
UCCACUAUAAUAAACUCUAAUAUUAUAUAAAAUAGCGACAUCCUUACAUGAAAGGAUCAUGCACUAUGACUACAUAUUGAUCGGAUCAAAGUAUCAGAUUGAUUUUGCAAUGCGUAAAUUAAGGUACAGGAAGCUAGUUGCACAGAAUUCCCAUAGAAGAUAGAGGAGCCCUCUUUACCAUUCUGUAUAAAUAGACUAUUCUAUUUGUACGGAUAUGGUAGAGGGAGGGGCAGAUCCAAUCUUUCUUCGUCCAUAAGUUCUCGAUAAAUGACCAAAAAACUUCUAUAGGCAACCUUGAAACAGAGAUGAAUGAGCACUGCCUCAAACUUGAGUUAGGGACGCUCAAAUAUAGUUGUCUUUAUGAUUCACUAGGUGACACAUAAACAACAACAACUUUGAAAGUGGUAAGUCCCAACAAUUUGAGAUCAGAUAUAUGAAUCGUUCGUUGUUAUUGAGAUCUGUAAAAAGUUAUAUAUUAAGUUAAGUUCAGAGUACAUAGAUCUUUAUUUAUAGUUUCUAUUAGAGUCUUUUUAAGUCUUCCUCUACAUCUUCUCGUGCCACUAAUAUUUAUUAUUUCAUCUCUUCUGACAACCGUAUCCGGAUGUCUUCUAAGCACAUGCUCAUACAAUCUUAAAUAAUUUUCUCUCAUCUUAUCCUCCAUUAAAACGAUAUCUAGUUGUUCACGAAUAAAAAUAAUUUUUUUUUCCAUUUUUCCUAGAAUUCACAUAUUCAUCUCAACAGUCUCAUCUCGGCAAUACAUUUUUGUAUAUGUUGUUUCUUAACUAUCCAAAAUUGAGAUCUACAAAACAUUGUUAGUCUCACAACUGUCUAAUAAAAUUUUUCUUUUAAUCUACUAGGUGACAUAUAGCUUAGUGAAAUAUAGCAAAGGAUAAUAAGAAUUAGAAAGGGGAAUACAGAAUAAAGUGCAUGCGAUAUUUAAUGUAAGUUCUUCUGCUAUUGUUUUUCUACCUAGGUGAUUAGCCCAUUAAAAGUUUCAUUAGUAAGGACUUUAGAAAUUCUUUGACACAAAAGGAAAUACAUUGUGUCUUAAAGCUAAUUUCGUUAUUCAUCAUCAUCUGCUUGUUAGUUCAUACAUAAAGGAAGUUCCUAAAACAAAAAUAAAGUUUGCCAUUUUAUUUUUUACUUCAUUUACCUGAGUUUUGUGAUCUCAAGUAAGGUUGCCACUUUGUGCCAUUACACAAAGGUGAGCAAACAAGCACAUGCCAGUAAUAGGCCAAGGCAUGUGCCGCCACCAAUUAACUUUAAAUGGUACACAUCAAUACCAUUCUAGCAUAGAACUUGCCAACCCAUGCAGAGAUGGAAGCCAGUCCUUGAUCUUAAAUACUUCACAAAUCAACUAAAUCUGCAGAUCAACUAACAGAGAAUGCUGCAAGAGUUCAUGUCAUAUAUAAUCUAUGCUGGAGGAUGGUAUGUGCCAUUGUGCUAAAGCGCAGCAAGUGGGCAAACAUUAAACGUCAGGCAUGAUAAGUAUUGUGACAUCUGCUCACAUCAACUACUAAGGUUCAUAGGUAGACUACAAUAUGCCAGGUUCCAAUGCAUAACACCAUCCACUGUGUUAGUUAUUUUUAAUGCAGUAGGUGUUGUAUAGAAUGUACUGCCAUCUUAAUAGAAGGCUCCAUGGAUUCUAGACCUACCACCAUCGUUAUCGACAUACCAUGCCAUACAUAUGCAUUGGCAUUGGAGGAGACCAUAGGAUGACUAGGCAUCACAUGGUUACAUAUAUAUGUUAAUCAGCGUUACUAGACAAGUCGAUUAAAACGUAGUUGAAGCCAUACAUUUGUUAAUGUUGGGUUUUCACAUUGACUUUCAUCCCACUUCCUAAUGCUACUUUCAAGUAGUCAGCAUCCUACCUCCAGUAGUUUUACUUCUAAUUCAGAUCAUCAGCAUUGAUUGGAUUAGGAAAAUCCUUUCAACUAUUAGAAAUCAAAUUUUCAAAGGUUUAGAUGUCUCUUUGAAUAGGAUUUGUUACAGUUACAGUUUUACUAUCUUAGUCAAGUAAGUCUUAUAGGAGGUUAAUUACAUAUUAUACCCAAUACUUGGACCCUAUUAGCAUCGCAGUCCCUGUACUUCAAAAAUUUAUAUUAGGAUCCCUAUAGCUUUGCAAAUAAAACAAAUAACCUCAUUUGCCCAAAUGUCAUCAGCUACAUUAACGGAAAACACAACACGUGACACUACAUGUUAGAUUGGUGCAAAAGUGAAGCAAAAAAAUAAUUUCAACAUCCCUUUCGUUUCUAACAUAUGGGAUGCUGAAAUUACCUCUUUGUUGGUAAAAUCACUAGAAACAGAAAGGAUGUUGAAAUUAUCUUUUGCCAAUUACUUUUGUAUUGAUCCAGCAUGUGGUGUCAAACUGACAGCGUUAGAUUAAAUGAGAUUAUUUGUUUUAUUUUCUAAAUUUUUUAAAGUACAGGGACCGUGAUACCAAUAAAGUCCAAGUGCAUGAGGUAAUCUAUAAUUAACCCUCUUACUUUAAAUGGGAUAAUUCUAUUAACAAAAUUAUAUAUAUAUGUAUGUAUGUAUGUAUAUAUGUAUAUAUGUAUUUAUAUAUAUAUAUAUAUAUAUAUAUAUAUAUAUAUAGAAAGAAAGAAAGAAAGAAAGAAAGAAAGCUUUUCUUCCUACAUGUCAUGCUUGACAAGCUUUUUUUCCCACACACGCACACACAGGUAUGUAUAAUGUACCAAAUUCAUAUAUUUUAUCGAGAUUAUCAUCAAUGUGCCAAAUGCAUACAAGACUCUACAAAUAACAUCAAUUCCAACGAAACUAUAGAAGCACCCAAUUGAAUCCUUUCCUUGGUGUCAUUUAUAGAAGUAUCGACUAAACCGAGGUAAAUCGGGCACGGAACCAAACAAAAUCAAAAUCAAUUAGACGAGAAGGGGCAAUCCACCAGCAGCAAAAAUCUGCCUUUUGGAUUACAAAAACCCAAAGACGGCAUCAGAGAAGAACCACGCGAUUAAGAUCGAGCAAACAUCCUAAGAGACCAUCAAAAAUCGAUCCGGAAAUUGCAAUCUUUUACUAAUCGAAUUCAAUCGCGAUCUGAAAUCCCUAAAACUUUUCCGAGUCAUUCGCGUCGAAAGUAGUAGGCGGGGAGGGAACGAAAAGGGCAGACCUCGAAGAAAGCCGAAGACGAGCUUUAGGGAUCGAAUCCUUUCCUUGAAUCUAUAGAAGCACCCAAUCAAAAUCCUUUCCUUGGUGUCAUUUCUAGAACUAUCGACUAAACCGAGGUCAAUUGGGCAUGGAACCAAUUUAUAGAACUAUCGAGCCCGAGAUGGAGGAGGAGAGCCGGCUGCAGCGGAGGCGCUCCUUGGAGGACGG